CACGAGUAAGCUACAAUGUAAACUCCACUUCUACAGCCUGAAAAUGGAAGACCCUGGAUAAAAAUGUGUUUUAAGUGCUUAUUUGGCAGCGAAGGACACAAUCAACACGUCAAAUUGUAAGUCCCCUCCUAUUCCCAUGAUUUAAGAGGCGAUGACUACUCCACUCCACUACCAUUGUCAACUUUCUCCUGACAUGAACUGAAGCCACGUCUCAGGUGCCCCCUCAUCGACUGGCACAUUGAAUGUUUCCCCUCCCAGCACUUUUGUCUUCCCAGUCAAAUCCUGUCCUGCACUGGUCAAGCCUAUGAGCACCUCAACUCGUGGCCCAUACCCUCAUUCAAUCACUGCUGUGAUCCAUUUCCAACACGGUGUAAG